CCAGGAGCGCAGGUCCUCCUUCCGGGAGAUGUAAUUGCGGCCGUCAUAGGCGGAUGGAUGGUACCCGCAGACCCUGCACUCCACCGCCCAGGUCUCGCUCAGGCCCAGGGCGGCAGCGAGCAGCAGAGGCAGCGUGCAGAGAGCCAUAGCUCCGGUACUGAGCUCAGGGACCUUUCGUGUCCGGGCGCGUAGGCCUUCGGGCCUUAAUGACCCGGGCGGAGCCGUGCUCAGAUUGGUAUUUCCCCAAAAAAACUCCAGCCAAUGGAAGCGAGGGUUAAAACGCGUCAUCAGUGUCCGGGCCGAAGUAGCGGAGCGAGAGUGACGUGGGUUCAGAGACUCUGAUGGAAACUCCCUUCGGUGCAGAUAAACACGGGUCUGAAGGUCAAACUCCAGCUUUGCUGUGCUUGGGGCCAUGACCAGCCACCAACACUGAGACACUGGAUAUCCAUCUGGAACAAAAGACCAACCCAUGAAGAACAGAAGAGGACAGAGACGCUCAGAGAAAGCAGGCUCUGUAACCGUUGAUCAGUGUGUCCAGUCCUGUUUUCAGUCUUGAUCUGCAAGAGGAGAAUACAAACAUGAGAAGGCAUCAGAGAGGAAAGAGAGGAGGCUCUCAAAGUCACUAAGAAGACCACGCUGUCUAUGGUGCCACCACAGCACCAUGAGCCCUGGGAAGUGAUGGUCAUGUGGCACUGAUACUCACCAAUAAAACCACACACACUUGAAGGAAACCACAGUGUGAGGAAAAGAAAUUCUAAGCAUUCUUUCUCAAGGCAAAGCAGAGAGAAGACUUACAAGUCUGUGAAGAGACAUUCCCACUGUGCUGGUAUGCAGGGAGCUGCUGCAGCAGGCUGGGAUCCUCAGAGCUCAGGGUUUGAGGGGAUCAUCCCUAGGGACCACUGAGGGACAAAGAACUCUGGGCUGUUCUCACCUGCGUUUUGUGAGGUUUGGAAUUUAGAAAACCAUGGAGUCACAUUAUGUAUGUAUGUAUUUUGGGGUAUUUGAGGUAGGGUCUUAUUCUAGUCCAGGCUGGCCUCAAACUCACAGCCAUCCUCUUACCUCUGCCUCCCAAGUUCUGGGAUUAAAGGAGUGCACCACCAUGCUGGGACCCACAGUAUUUAUUAAAGACAAACAGGGUGCUAGUGGCCUCUGCAUCUCAGAGAAGACAAGGAGGAGGUCCUGAAUUACCUAGGAAGAGAAACGGAUCAUUUUGAAGGUCUACUGGACAAAGAGCAGGGGUGGAGAAAGCUAGUAUUCUGCACUGGGGGGAGUCUGGCCCAUGAUGCAAGUGCAAUCACUUUAACAUGGAGAUGGUAGAACGUGUGUGGUCUGUGUUUAAGUUCUGUGUCCUUACUGUCUCUUAUCUUCUCUGACCCCCUGUCUGAAGGGGUUCUGUUGGUUUGGGCUCUCCUGUUUGCCUUCCAUGUAUAUGUGAGUGUGUAUUUCCCAGAGGCCUCUAUCCCAGAUACAUUAAAGUAGAUUUUCUCCAUCUUCCCUUCUUUGUCUUGGGCUUCCCUCUUAGCCUUCCCUCUAAUCCUAACUCUCCCUAAAGUGAACCUAAUGAUUCACAAUUUACACUUCCGUGAGUCUGUGUUUUCAAUUCUUUGCUAACUUGAAUGAGGACCUAAAAUUAGGGUCUACUGACCUGGGAACUCCUGCAUGUUUAUGGAAUUUAAUUAUUCCCUUGACCCAACGUUCUGCAUCACUGACAUGGCUGUCCCUGCCCAUGUGGUAUGUGGUGGCUUGCAUGCCUGCGGUGAUGAGGCUUACAUCAGGCAUGCUAUGGGCAGCAAGACAUGGCACUAAGGCUGAUCUCUCAGGAGGAAGAGUGUCUAUAGGACUCCAAAGGUGGCUGUCUUCCUCUAAGUGGCAUACCCUUGUGAAGAGUGGGGUCCUCUCGGUGAGUAUGGGGAUAUUCUGAAAAUGGCUGAAGGUUCAAAGGAAGUGUUGAAAUCCAUGCAUGUGGAAGAAAAUGAUUAAUAGUGUGACCAGGCUGCAAUAGAGGGGCUUGGGCUAUAGUUAUGGGUGAUAAGUGAUGCAGCAGAAGCUGAGAUGGCUGCCCUGACCAAACUUGUGUGAGUAAAAGAGGAGUUACAAUGAGAAAAGGACAUGUGGAAUGUGCUCUGCAUUAGCCUCUGAUUUGGCAGGUAAAUUGGACAAAAGAAAAUGUGGUAGAGAUGAUGGCUUAACGCCUUGCUAGUGCACGACGCAACUGCCAAGCCAGACAAGGUGGUGGAAGGGACACCUCAGCUCUAUGGGUGCCUGGUGCAUGACUGGUACAGGCAGGAGCACCACCCAGGAGUGGGCGGCUGCAGCAGUGCAAAUGGACACAGAUCCCUGUGGACAGAGGGAGGAGAAGGAAAUGGCAGCCAGUUGUCAAAUUGAGAACAGUUUUUAUGGCGAGAACUCGUGAACUUGCCCAAGACAAAUUCUACUGGUAGUUGAACUGUGUUCUGAGCCUUGACUUUAUGGAUGGCCUAGUGGGAAACCAAGAACUGCCAAGUACUGGGAUGGCCACUGUGGGGACAACAGAUGUGGAAGGAGACACAUAACAGAGUCCUACAGGAGUCAGAGCCCCUGGUGGCUCUCCACAUGGCAGCCCAGGGCCCACUGAGCCCUCUGGAGACCAGGAGACAAAAGGAUGCCCUUACAAAGUAUAGGUCUAAGCUGGGCAUGGUGGUACUCACCCUUAAUCCCAGCACUUGGUAGGCAGAAUGAGUUUGUGAGUUUGAGGCCACCCUGAGACUACAUAAUGAAUUCCAGGUCAGCCUGGGCUACAGCAAGGCCCCACCUUGCAAAAUAAAAAAGUAAAGUACAGGUCAUUAACUGCCGUCAAGUACCACUCAAAGCUGCUCACUGGGUUUAAGUAGAGAUGGUCGUAGUGGAGCCAACAUGGGUAGCUAAAGCAGCUUGCAUUUUGCUGAAAUAGUCUCAUGCUGCAUGCUUGCUGGGCUCCUUAUCGCUCAGGUAGUGCCAACCCAGAAACCUCUCCUGGCCACCGGAGAAAAACCACACUGAGUCUGGAGUCUUUUUGAAGCAGGAACUCACUUUAUUGUUAGAGGCUGGUGUUUAAGGAGACUUUAGGGUGGGAUGAGAUGUA